rnacentral:sRNA from 1 species
GGCCAGGGCGCGGCGUGGCAGAUUCAGUCGUUUGCGGGCGGCCGGGAGAAUAGCAGUGCCUUGGACCCCAGCUCUCCUCCCCCUUUCCCUCUAAGGAUGGCCCAGAAGGAGAACGCCUACCCCUGGCCCUACGGCCGGCAGACGGUAAGGCCCUUCCCUCCGUCCCUGCGCCCCCAUGACCCCGCAUGGCGGUUCCUGCUAGGAAACUUGAGAUCCUGCAAUGAGCAAUCCUUUAAGCACUUUCUUCCCCGUUAUGCUCCAAAGUACGGGCCCCAAGUUUGAUGACAGAACCCGGUCUGGACAUUUGUAGCCACAUCCUGUC